CAUUCCUCUUCGCUGCCGGCACCGCAUGAGCAACAGGACGGAUACCGUCCUCCAGUCAACACGGGGCACGCCAAGCUUCCGUAAGGGACAAUUGAUUCGGGCAUAAAGGGGACAAGGACCCCGACCGAUCAUGCUUCUACAUACAAGACUUCGAGCGACACCUGGGCGUCCGACGCCUGCAAGCUACAAAGGCAAAGCAAGGGCGGACAUCCAUGGGAGCUUCAGGGUCUACAUCGCACAAAACAUUUUUGGCACGAGAUAGAGUAGGGACCGUGGGACUAGAGAAUUCCGUCAAAAUAGGUAUGCUGCACAGGGGGCCAAGCCGAUCCAAGGCAAUAUAUUUAGCACUCGGACAGAAUUGAACAGGUGUGAACCAGCGGUUGUCGCUACCGAGGCAGGGAACCAACCAACCGGAACAUACCAAUCACCACUCAUGCGCUACACGUACGGCAUGCCACCAAUCACCCACUAGGCACAAGCCCCCCAAAGACCCAAAAGUCUAGAAAGGACAUGACCGUAACAAGUGAAAGC
rnacentral:misc_RNA from 1 species